GGUCUGAGAGGAUGAUCCGCCACACUGGGACUGAGACACGGCCCAGACUCCUACGGGAGGCAGCAGUGGGGAAUUUUGGACAAUGGGCUCAAGCCUGAUCCAGCCAUGCCGCGUGUCUGAAGAAGGCCUUCGGGUUGUAAAGGACUUUUGUCCGGGAGCAAAUCCCAGUGGUUAAUACCUACUGGGGCUGAGAGUACCGGAAGAAUAAGCACCGGCUAACUACGUGCCAGCAGCCGCGGUAAUACGUAGGGUGCAAGCGUUAAUCGGAAUUACUGGGCGUAAAGCGUGCGCAGGCGGUUGUGCAAGUCUGAUGUGAAAGCCCCGGGCUUAACCUGGGAACGGCAUUGGAGACUG
rnacentral:rRNA from 1 species